rnacentral:lncRNA from 1 species
CAUGAGGGCAGUUUCACUGACAGUUUAUGCAGGCAGGGGGAGGUAAGCUCAUAUAACCUUGUUCCUUACGGAGGUGUAGAAAAUCUGUAGCAUGAUGUAAUGGAAUUAAGAAUGGGUCAAUGAAAUAUACAGCUCCUUUCUGGAAUGUACCUGUUCUGCUACAACCAUGGAUAUCCUGACCUUUCUGUGCCUUUCAGGGACAAGGGUAAUAGAGGAGUUUCAGACUCCCUCUAAAACAAAACAACAACUGAACAAUAAACAACAGAAAAAGAACACAAAAAAAGACGGUGGUACUCUUUCCCCUUUCCUUGCUUUCUCCUGCUACCAAAACAAACAACAAAAACUACAUUGUCUCAUUGGAUGACGAAGCUAAAAUUUUGUAGCAAAUCUAUAGAAGAAAAGAAGUGGAAAUCUACUCAAGAGCUACUGUAAAACACUGUAUACAAAACAACCACUUUGAUUCACAUUAAAAAGUGUUAUCUGUUUCUUUGAAUUCAUAAG